rnacentral:pre_miRNA from 1 species
CUUACUGCGGGUUCCCUGCAAACACUUCACGAAGCAUUAUUUCAAACGCCAUUGCGAAGUGUUUGGAGGAACUCUUGGUGAAGUCAAGCUCCAAGAACUAAGAAGGUGAUCAAUACGAAGCAUGUUUGGUCUUACCGUGGGUUCCCUACGAGCACUCCACGAGGCAUUAUUCCAAAUACCACUGUGAAGUGUUUGGGGGAACUCUUGGUGAUGC